rnacentral:lncRNA from 1 species
CUAAUAGGAGGCUCAAUUCCAGAGGACAGGAAGACAGAAUGUCACCAUACUGUAUAUACUCUAAUGAACAUACUGUUCAGUUCGGAGCACCACAUUUUAAAAAAAUAUACUGACCAAGAGGUCAGUGAAGUAAAGCGUUUGGAAAUCAUUUUUUAAGAGAUUAAAAUGGAAGAAAGUGGAAAUAACCCAAUUAAAAAAAAGAAAACAGACAUGGAUUGAAGUACUCUACUCAUAAACAUUAAAAAUAUUAAAAUCUCAAGAUCUAUAAAAACAUUGUACAUUAGUUUCCUCUUUGUGGAUGUAGUUUUGAAGCUUCAUGUAUGUGAGACCAAGAAGACCUGGACAUUUGGAUGACUCUGCCUUUCUUCUCUACGACCAAUGAAAAGCCACAAUAGCAAGAAAAGGAUCCAGAAAUAUGAAGGUGCUUAAUCUGAAUGAGAAGAACUACAAUAUACAAAAUAGGAAACAUGAGGAUGAUCUGGCUGCAACAUGUCAACCCAUUGAUCACCAGAGUUGAUUCAGCUGAUCUGGCUGACAAGGUGGGUGUCCCCUUCCUCCCUCACUGCUCCAUGUGUGUCCCACCUAGAUCUGUAUACUUAGUCAAAGACGACAAUUUUCCCUGAAAGAAGAGGACCAUUCUCCAGUCAAGGGUUUAUGAGUAGCUGUGCUUCCCCACUAAAAUCUCCAAAGAAGCUCUCAAAGUAGGUAGCUUCUAAUGUAAUUGUGUUUUGUUUUGGUUGGUGUUUUUCUUUAUUUCUUUGAGCCAGAGAAAACACAGGUCUUGGUUAAUUGGGAUUUACUAUAGUCUGCUUUACCAGAAAGUAAAUUAAAAUGCCAGAGAUUCAAAGUUCACGGAAUCUUCAGAUAUUAUAUUCUGAUCAAGAAACUGUGUGAAAUAUGCCAUUUUGUUUAUGGAUUCCAGAUGAUAAAAGACAAACACGUGACUUUUAUAUUACCACCCCUGGUUCCCAUAUCUACAGCAGGUCUUCCUUUGAAGCCCAUAAACCAUAAAAAAUAAAUAAAUAAAAAUGACCCAGGUACAGUAACUACCAACCAACAGGCCUUAACUCAAACUAUAGUCUACUUGCCAUUCCUACCCUACAGCCUAUGGUUAUGGCUCAAUCAAAGUAAAUUUCAGAUUCUUUUGGUAAUACCUGGGUAAGAAGUGAGCCUGCCAGCACAACAUCUAUGAUUCCUCAAGGCUCCAGUUGCAUAAUAUGUGUUCUCAUAAUCCUAGAGCCCCCAUAUUCUUCCCUAUUUUAACAAAAAUCUUGCUAUUUUGCUUAGAAAAGGUUUUCUGUGUCUAUAAUACUUUUAGUUUCCUCUUCAAAUGCAUUUAUCUGCUCAACUGUAGAGAGACUGGGGGUAGUAGCUCUUUUCUGUCUUUAGUUUGCUCUGGGAACGAAUCAGUCAACAAAUAGUUGUUGAUCACUUACCAUAUCCCAGAAAACAGAGGGAAGAAGUAAAUAAGACAGCAGACUUAUUCUCCCUGACAGCUGCAAUUCUAGUGGGAGGAAAGAGGUAAUAAGUAUUGAAAGACAUAAAUAAAUAGGAUAGUUCCAGGUAAUGAUAACUAGUAUAGAGAACAUAAAAUAUGGUAAAUGGAGGAGAGUGAUAGCGGAGGUAGUGAUAAAAAGGGGUCAUUUCAGCAGCAGUAUGAAGAAAAAGCCCUUAGCUAAAGGCUGAAAUGUUUGAGCCUGAAUGACCAGAAAGUGACAUCUAUGAAACAGGGAAGAACGUUCUAUGCAAAAGGAAUAACAAGAGCUAAGUGCCUGAUAUGGAAAUGAAACUGAUAUGUUCUUAGUACAGAAAGGACAGUAUGUUUGGAACACUGUGAACAAGAAGAAGCUUAGAGAAAGAUGAGGUUGAAUAGAUUACCAAAGCCCAACUGAGGCAGACAGAAAAAUUAGAAGACUUUUGCAGUAAGCCAGGCUACAGAUGAUGGCAGUUUUACUAAAUUUACAGCAGUAGGGAUGGUGAGAAGUGGCUGUAUAAGGAGUAUAUUUUAAAGUAAUCAGAAGUAUUGGUGAGGAAGAGGAGUCAAGAAGGACUUGUUGGGGAAGUGGAACAAGAUGGCAGAAUAGAAGGCUCUACUGAUGUUCCCCUACUGCAAGGACACCAAUUUAACUAUCUACACAAGAAAAGCACCUGCAUAAGAACCAAAAGUCAGGUGAGUACUCACAGUACCUGGUUUUAACUUCAUAUCACUGAAAGAGGCACUGAGGAGGUAGGAAAAACAGCCUUGAAUCACCUGCAGUAGAGGCGUGGUAUGGAGAGUGUUUCUAUGCUCAGGGGAGAAAGAAAGUGCAGCAUUUAUGAGGCACUGAAGUCAGUGCUGCCCUUUUACAGCAGAAAGUGAAACCAGACCAAAUUCAGCUGACAUGUGCAAUGGAGAGAACAUUUAAACCAGCUAUAGCCAGGUCAGAACUUAAGUACCUAUGCACAAGUCUCACCACCAACGGAUAAAGAGCUCUGGGCCCCUACAUGAACUUGAAAGGCAGUCUGUGCCACAAGGACUGCAACUCCCAGGCAUGUCCUAGUGUUGAACUGGGCCCAGAAUCACUGGACUUGGCGGGUACAUGAUGUACUCAGACACAGGCCGGGGCGGCUAAGGGACUGCUGGCAUCAUCCCUCCCCUAACGCUAGGCUACACACCUCAUGACUCUAAAGGAGACCUGUCCCUUCUGCUUGAGGAGAGGGCAGGACAAAUGGGAAAGACGUUGUCUUGCAUCUUGGAAACCAGCGUAGCCAUAGCAAGACAGGGUACUGGUCAAUCAUAAGGCCACCCUCCCAGGCUCUAGCUCUUGGAUGACAUUUCUAGACACGGUGUAAGCCAGAAGGGAACCCGCUGCCUUAGGCAAGGACCCAGUCAUGGCAGGACUCAUCAUACCUGUUAACUGGAGAGCCACUGGUCCCUGAAUAACAAGCAGUGAUACCCAGGUACUAUGUAGAGGGCCCUGGAUAAAACUGUGAGACUUGCUGGCUUCAGCUGAGACUCAGCAAAUUCCCAGCUGUACUGGCUAUGGGGCCAGACUCCUGCUGCUUGAGAAAAAUAGACAUAAAAGUAAAAUGGACUUUGUCUUGCACCUUAGGUACAAGCUUAGCCACAGGAGGGCAGAGUAGCAAGUAGGCUCUUAAGGUCCCACAUUUUAGGAUUUGGCUCUUGGACAGCAUUCCUGGAUCUGCUCUGGGCCAAAGGGGAGUCCACUGCCCUCAAGGGUGAGUCCUAAGCCAGGCAGCAUUUACCACAAGCUGACAAAAGAGCCCUCGUACCUUAAGGGAAUAUCAGCAGUAGUCUGGCAGUAUUCCCCAUGGGCCCAUGGUUGUGGUGGCCAUGGAGUGAGGCUCCUCUGCCUUUGGAAAGGGGAGAAAAUAGUAGGAACGACUGUGUCUUGUGGUUUGAGUGCCAGCUCAGCUACGGUACACUAAAACACCAGACAAACUUCAAAGAUUUUUGACUAUAGUCCCUGGCUCCUAGAUAGCACCUCUGGAUCAACCCAGAGGGAAUUCAUUUUCCUGCAGAGAAGGACACAAGCCUGGGUGGCUUUGCUACCUGCUGACUGUUGAGCCUCAGGGCCUGAAGUGAACAUAGGCAGUAGACAGGGAGUAGUUAUAGGAGGCCUUGGGCAACAUCCAGUGCUGUGCUGGCUUCAGGUCUGACCCAGCAUAGUCACAGUGGUGGUGGCAACAGUGAUGCUUAUAUCACACCAACCUCAGCUCCAGGUAGCUCAGAACAGAGAGAGAUACCCCAUUGUUUAGAAGAAAGUAAGGGAAGGGAGUGAAAGUCUCUGCCUAAUAAUCCAGAGAAUUCUUCUGAAUCUUGUCCAUGACCAUCAAGGCAGUACCUCUUCAAGCCUGCAAAAACCAGUUUUACUGGGCAUGGGGUGUCCCAUUAAGCAGAUAUAGCUUAGAUCACAACUUCCAAGUCUGUUCAAAUCUCUGGAAAGCCUUCCCAAGAAAGAUGGGUACAAACAAGCCCAGACUAUGAAAACUAUAAUAAAUACAUAACUCUUCCAUGACCAAACACAGAAGAACAUCUACAAGUAUCAAGAUGAUCCAGGAAAACAUGACCUCACCAAAUGAAGUAAAGCACCAGGGAACAAUCCUGAAGAAUUAGAAAUAUGUGACCUUUCAGACAGAGAAUUCAAAAUAGCUAUGUUGAGGAAACUCAAAGAAAUUCAAGAUAACACACAGAAGGAAUUCUGAAUUUUAUGAAAUAAAUUUUACAGAGAUUGAAAUAAUUAAAAAGAAGCAGAAAUUCUGGAGCUGAAAAAUGCAAUUGGCAUACUGAAGAAUGCAUCGGAAUCUGUUAAUAGCAGAAUGGAUCAAGCAGAAGAAAGAAUUAGUGAGCUUGAAGACAGGCUAUUUGAUAAUACACAGAAGAGACAAAAAAAAGAAUUAAAAAACAUGAAGCAUGCCUACAGGAUGUAGAUAAUAGCCCCAAAGGGCAAAUCUAAGAGUUACUGGCCUUAAAGAGAAGGUCUAGAGAGACAGAUAAGGAUAGAAAGUUUAUUCAGAGGGAUAAUAACUGAUAACUUCCCAAAUCUCGAGGAAGAUAUCAAUUUUCAAGUACGAGAAAGUUAUAGAACACCAAACAGAUUUAACCCAAAGAAGACUACCUCAAGGCAUUUAAUCAUCAGACUCCCAAAGGACAAAGAUUUUAAAAAGGAUGCUAAAAGCCACAAAGGAAAAGAAGCAAAAAACAUACAAUGGAGCUCCAAUAGAACUAGCAGCAGACUUUUCAGUCAAAAUCUUACAAGCCAGGCAAGAGUGGCAUGAAGAUUUCAAGUGCUGAAAGAAAAAAAUAUUUUAUCCUAGAAUAGUAUAUCCAGUAAAAAUAUCCUUCAUACAUGAAAAGACUUUCUCAGAUAAACAAAAGCCAAAGGAUUCCAUGAACACCAGACCCAUCCGACAAGAAAUGCCCAAGGGAGUACUUCAAUCGGAAAGAAAAAGAAUAAAACUAGUGGAAUUUUGGAAACUAUACAAAUACAUGCAAAGUACAAAAUAUACUCCUAAAUGGCCAGUGGGACAAUGAAGAAAUUAAGGAAACUGAAAAAUUCUUGAAACAAAUUAUAAUGGAAACACAACAUAACAAAACCUGUAGGAUAAAACAAAAGCGUACUAAGAGGGAAUUUUACAGCUGUAAAUGCCUACAUCAAAGAAGAGGAGAAACUUCAAAUAAAUAACCCAAUGAUGAAUCUUAGAGAACUAGAAAAGCAUGGACAAAGCAAACCCAAAAUUAGUGGAAGAAAAUAAAUAAUAAAGAUUAGACUAGGAAUAAAUGAAAUUGAAAUAAAGAAAACAAUAUAAAAGAACAAUGAAAUAAAAAGUUGGUUUUUUGAAAAGUUACAUAAAUAGACAAAUCUUCAGCCAGAUUAACCAAAAAAAGAGAGAAGAUUCAAGUAAAUAAAAUCAGAGAUGAAAAAGGAGACACUAUAACUGAUACAACAGAAAUCCAAAGCAUCAUUAGUGACUACUAUGAAUGACUAUAUGCCAAUAAAUUGAAAAAUCUAGAAGAAAUGGAUAAAUUCUUAGAUGCAUAUAACCUACCAAGAUUGAACCAGGAAUAAAUCCAAAACCCAAAAAGACAAAUGACAAGUAAUGAGAUUGAAGCCAUAAUAAAGAAGUCUCCCAAUAAACAAAAAGCCUAAGACCCUAUCAAUGGCUUCACUGCUGAAUUCCGCCAAACAUAAUUUAAGGAAGAACUAAUGCAAAUUCUACUCAAACUAUUCUAAGAAAGAGGAUAAGGGAAUAUUUUCAAACUCACUGUGUGAGGCUAGUAUUACCCUGAUACCAAAACAAGAGAAAGACACAUCAAAACCGACUACAGGCCAGUAUGUCCAAUAAAUAUUAAUGCAAAAACCCUCAAUAAAACACUAGCAAACUGAAUUCAACAAUACAUUAAAAAGAUCAUUCAUCAUGACCAAGUGGGAUUUAUCCCUGGGAUUUAGGAAUGAUUCAACAUAUGAAAAUCAAUUGGCCAGGCACGGUGGCUCAUGCCUGUAAUCCCAGCACUUUGGGAGUCCGAGGCAGGCGGAUCACCUGAGGUUGGGAGUUCGAGACCAGCCUGACCAACAUGGAGAAAACCCAUCUCUACCAAAAAUACAAAAUUAUCUGGGAGUGGUGGCACAUGCCUGUAAUCCCAGACACUUGGGAGGCUAAGGCAGGAGAAUCGCUUGAACCUGGGAGGUGGAGGUUGCGGUGAGCCAAGGUCGUGCCAUUACACUCCAGCCUGGGCAACAAGAGCGAAACUCCGUCUCAAAGAAAAGCCAUAUGAUGAUUUCAAUCGAUGCUGAAAAGCAUUUGAUACAAUUCAAUAUACCUUUAUAAUAAAAACUCUUUAAAAAACUGGGUACUGAAGGAAAACAUCUCAACAUAAUAAAAACCAUAUAUGAUAGACCCACAGCUAAUAUCAUACUGAAUGGGGAAAAACUGAAAGCCUUUUCUCUAAGAUCUGGAACACAACAAGGAUGACUACUUUCACCACAGUUAUUAAACACAGUACUGGAAGUCCUAGAUAGAGUAGUGAGACAAAAGAAAGAAACAAAGAGCAUCCAAAUUAGAAAGAAGUCAAAUUAUCCUUGUUUGCAGAUGAUAUGAUCUUAUAUUUAGAAAAUCCUAAAGAUUCCACCCAACAAAACUAUUAGUACUGAUAAACACAUUCUACAAAAUCAACAUACAAAAAUCAGUAGCAUUUCUAUAUGUCAAUAGAAAACUAUCUGAAAAAGAAAUCAAGAAAGUAAUCCAAUUUAUAACAGCUAUAAAUAAAAUUAAAUACCUAGCAAUUAAUUUAACCAAAGUAGUGAAAGAUCUCUAUAAAGAAAAUUAUAAAACACUGAUGAAAGAAAUUGUAGAGGACACACAAAAAAUGGAAAGAUAUUCCAUGUUCAUGGAAUGGAAGAAUAUUGUUAAAAUGCCUACAGUACCCAAAGCGAUCUACAGAUUCGAUGCAAUCCUUGCCGAAAUAUCAAAGACAUUCUUCACAGAAAUAGAAAAAAACAAUCCUAAGAUUUAUAUGGAACCACAAAUGUCCUAGAAUAGCCAAGGCUAUCCUGAGCAAAAAGAACAAAACUAAAGCAAUCACUCUUACCUCACUUCAAAUUACACUACAGAGAUAAUAGUAACCAAAACAGCCUAAACAGACACACAAGCCAAUGGAAGAGAAUAGAGAAUCCAGAAAAAAAUCUAUACAUCAACAGUGAAUUCAUUUUACACAAAGUUUCCAAGAAAUAUACUGGGGAAAGGAGAGUCUUCAAUAAAUGGCGCUAGAAAACUGUAUAUCCAUUUGCGGAAUAAUGAAGACCCCUAUCUCUUGCCAUAUACAAAAAUCAAAUCAAAAUGAAUUAAAGACUUAAACCUAAGACCUCAAACUAUGAAGCUAAUAAAAGAAAACAUUUGAGUGACUCUCCAAGACACUGAACUGGACAAAGAUUUCUUAAGUAAUACCUCACAAGCAAAGGCAACCAAAGCAAAAAUGGACAAAUGAGAUCAUAUCAAGUUAAAAAGCUUCUGCACAGCAAAGUAUACAAUCAAUAAAGUGAAGAGACACCUAAAGAAUGGAAGAAAAUACUUUAUGAACUACCCACCUGACAAGGGAUUAACAACCAGAAUAUAUAAGGAGCUCAAAUAACUCAUGGGGGAAAAAAAUCUAAUAAUCCGAUAUAAAAAGUCAGCAAAAGAUCUGACUAGUCAUUUCACAAAAGAAGACAUACAAAUAGCAAACAGGUAUAUAAAAAGAUGCUCAACAUCAGUGAUCAUCAGAGAAGUGCAAAUCAAAACUACAAUGAGAUGUCAUCUCACUCCAGUUGAAAUGGUUUAUAUCCAAAGACAGGUAAUAACAAAUGCUGGUAGAAUGUAGAGAAAAGGGAACUCUUAUACACUGUUGGUGGGAAUGUAAAGUAGCACAACCCUAUAGAGAACAGUUUGGAGGUUCCUCAAAAAACUAAAAAUAGAGCUACCAUAUAAUCCAGCAAUCUCACUGCUGGGUAUAUACCCAAAAGAAAGGAAAUCAGUAUAUUGAAGAGAUAUCUGCACUCCCAUGUUUGUUGUAGCACUGUUCAGAAUAGCCAAGAUUUGGAAGCAACCAAGUGUCCAUCAACAAAUAAAUGGAUAAAGAAAAUGUGGUACUUAUACACAAUGGAGUACUAUUUAGCCAUAAAAAAGAAUGGAUGAGAUUGUGUCAUUUGCAAUACCAUGAAUGGAACUGGAGGUCAUUAUGUUAACUGAAAUAAGCCAGGAACAUCACAUGUUCUCACUUAUUGUGGAACCUAAAAAUCAAAACAAUUGAACUCAUGUAGAUAUAGAGUAGAAGGAUGGUUACCAGAGACUGAGAAGGGUAGUUGGCGGGGGGAGGGAGGGUAGGAGAUGGGGCUGGGGGUUGGGGCCAUGAGGGGAUGUUUAAUAGAUGCAAAAGAAAAAAAAUAGAAAGAGUUAAUAAGACCUAGAAUUUGACAGUAAAAUAGGGUGACUAUAGUCAAUAACUUAAUUGUAUAUUUUAAAAUAACUUAAAGAGUACAAUUAGAUUGAUUUUCACUCAAAGAAUAAAUGCUUGAGGGGACGCAUACCCCAUUCUCCACGAUGUACUUAUUUCACAUUGCACACUUGUAUUAAAACAUCUCAUGUGCUUCAUAAAUAUAUACACCUACUAUGUAUCUACAAAAAUUAAACAAACAAACAAAAGAAUGACUUGUUGCUUUCUUGGCCUAAGCAACUGGGUGCCAAUUACUGAGAUAGGAAAUGGAGGAUGGAGGUGAAAAGGAAAAUAUCUUUCGGUUUUCAGCCUACUGAGUAGCAAUUUCAAGUAGCUAAUUAGACUAAACUUCAGUGGAGCUUAGGGGAAAGGUUAGGGCUGGGGAUAUAAAUUACAAAGGUAUCAGUCAAGAGAUGACCUCAGAAGCCAUGGGAUCAUAUUUUGCAAAAGUGUAGACAGUGAAAAAGGCCAAGGACCAAGGCUGGAGGCACUCCAAAAUUAGAAGUCUGUUAGAGGAGGAGGAGACCAAGAGGCAGAGUGAAUGAGGGAAACCAGUGACUCUGAAGUUACAGAAGACCAGAGAAAACAUUGUAGCUAGAAGGAAAAUGUAGUUAUUUCAGUAAAGUAGUGAGGAUGAAAACUCAAUUGGAGUGAUUGCAGGAGUGGAAAGAAAGUGAAGAACUGGAGGGAGUGGACGUGGACAACUUUAUUAAGGAGUUUUUUUUAUAAAGUGGAAGAAAAUGUAAAGCCAAGCUGCAAAGGAAUAUGGGAUCCUGAGAGCAUUUUUGAAGUUGUGAUAUUAAAAAUGUUAGUUUAUUGAUGAGGAUGCUCCCAUAGACGGGGAGAGACUGAUAACCCAGGCAGGGAAAAAUUCUAGAAGCAAAGUUCACUAGAAAGGAAAAAGACUAUAGGAUUCAGUGCUUAAGUGAAGAAAUUUUCUUUAAAAAAGAGAUACUUCAUUACAACUAAAGGGAAGACAUAAUAAACUCAUACAGAUACAGGUAGGAUGGUGGAGCUAAUGGCAAAAAUGUGAGACAGUUAAUGUUUCAUUGUAUCUCUUUUAUCUGUGAACUAGGUAGGUAGCUGAGAAAUAAAAAUAAGGUAAGGGAGUUACAGAUUUAAAGAAAGUCAAGUUUAAGAGAACGGGAAUGGCAAUUUACUGGCAGUACUAAAUGUUCUUUGAAAUCUGUGAUGCCUUCCCUAUUAGCUAAAAUUGCAAUUCCUCCCCACUCCUCCCACCAACAUUUCCUAUUCCCUUUCCCUUCUUUAUAUUUUCCUUAGCACUUGUUGAUAACUUCACAUACAUUUUAUAUUUCAUUCAUUGUCUGCCUCCCACUUGAGUAUAUCCCCUAUGAGGGCAAAGACAUUUUUGUUGUUGUUCACUAAUAUACCUUCACAUUGAGAGCAUGCCUUGCACAUCGUUGGUGCCAAAUAAAUAUCAGUUGAGCAAAUGAAUUUGUAGAAGCAAAUUUGAAGUUAGGCCAGCCAGUACAAUUACAGGGUUUUCUCUAAUAAUGUUCAGUUGAACAUAUACAUUAUGGAGUUAGGUGGGUUUAGCAAAAUGUGACAGUUUUGCCCAGUAAUAUAGCAGAGGAAGAAAAAGGAAGGAAGUUAAGGGUACUUACAAAGUGUCUCACCAUGAUGGAGUGAAAAACAAUUAUAGUCAUUGGGCAGUGACUAGAGGUGGGAGGUCCCCAUGGGCUGAAGAAUAGUGCACUUAUUUUUUUAAGGGAUCAAGUGGUACAGGAAAUGAUGACCAGAGUGUGAAAUGUUAGAGAUCUAGAUUAUAAUCAUGUGAGUAGAUGGCUAAGGUAGAAUGGAAGAAAAAUUCAGAGAGUUAUGGAAGCCAAGGAACCAAGAGACUACUGUGUUGAAUAGAUUGGCUAGCAACAUAAUGCUAAUGUUGAUUCCUGGAGCACUUGAUACUACCUAGUAUAUGUGACAAAUGGGGCUUUGUGAGUUAUUAUGAAAAAAGUCUUAUUCAUUCCGGAUGGCAUGAAAAUCUCAGAGCCCUGCAGUAACGACUAAUUUAUAUGAGAAAAUUGAUGACCUAGCCAAAUAUAAAAUUAGCCUGUAACAAUUUCUGGAUAGAAAUGUUUAGGAAUUUGGAGUUAGUAAAAAGGAAUGUUCAACCUAAAGUUAGCAGCUUUCUUACUUACAAAAUUUACUGCUGAGAGGGUUAUUUGUAAACUUUGAAGCAAAACUCUAGUCAAAAUAGCAUGUUUCUUGUUUAGCAAAAGGAGGCAGGACCAAAAAAGGAUAAUUCUCAUUCAUUCCUUUGCUUGAGAAUAUAAGAUUUGGUAGGGUGGAAGAAUAAUAUGAAAAGGGAGUAAUUUUGCCAUCUCUUCAAAUUUGCUUCAAAUAUUCCUCUAGUUAAUAGAAAUACCAGAGAUCUGCUCUACUGAGAAACAAAUGGGAGGUUAGAAAGUCACAGAACCUUAGAAAAACAAGAUAUAUUUCAAAGGUGAUUGAAGGAAAGCUUUGUUUAAAAGGAUGAAGAAAAAUCCAGAUCUGAUAGUGUUGAUUUAAGAAUUAUCCUUUCACCAAAAUAUCUGCAGAAAUCCCUGAAAUUCUUCUCUUACACCCCCAGCCACAAAUAAUGCAAGGAAAAUAGGGGAAAAAAAGGGCUCAAAUUGACAAGGUGGUUGACCUGAUAUAUUUUAUUAGUGAUGCAGAAAUAGCAAAGUUUUGAAUGUUACUGACAAGUCAAAGGUCACUGAUAACAAGAGAGAAGAUGCUUUUUCUGGCAGGUAAAAAACAGAAUUGAAGAUGAUUUUCUGGACAAAGAGAACCAACUAAGAGAAGGUUGAUUUGGCUUUUGAAUCAAUAAUUAAUUUUGCUGAAUCAGCCAUGCACACUGCCUCUGGACUGUUACAUAGGCUACUCUGUGCUACUUUUCUGAGAAAGAAGCAAAUGAUGUAGGAAAAACAUCAUUUUUUUUUUUAAAAAAAGGAGAGUAACUU